UACGUAGGGUGCGAGCGUUGUCCGGAAUUAUUGGGCGUAAAGAGCUCGUAGGCGGUUUGUCGCGUCGACUGUGAAAACUGGGGGCUUAACUCUCAGCUUGCAGUUGAUACGGGCAGACUUGAGUUCGGUAGGGGAGACUGGAAUUCCUGGUGUAGCGGUGAAAUGCGCAGAUAUCAGGAGGAACACCGGUGGCGAAGGCGGGUCUCUGGGCAACAACUGACGCUGAGGAGCGAAAGCGUGGGGAGCGAACAGG
rnacentral:rRNA from 1 species